rnacentral:lncRNA from 12 species
GCCUCAAAGCCUUCGCUGGGAGACCUGUCAGUAAACUGGGGCAAUAUUACAAAUAGGCAACAAAGGAUAAUGCAAAGAUUGCAGAAAUGGAACAACGCAGAGACAAGUGAAUUUCUUGGAGGAUGGAGUAGAAGGCAGAAAAGAUGAAAGAGGAGAUCUUUCAAAAGGUUACAAGGAAUGGAAAACCCAAGAAGCUUCCUGGUCUCCUUUUUCAGCUCCCACCCAAAUCCACUCAUCCGGACAGCUUAGGAAGGAAGACAGAAAAUCAGUCCAAAGAAU